GAUGAACGCUGGCGGCGUGCCUAAUACAUGCAAGUCGAGCGAACAGACGAGGAGCUUGCUCCUCUGACGUUAGCGGCGGACGGGUGAGUAACACGUGGAUAACCUACCUAUAAUACUGGGAUAACUUCGGGAAACCGGAGCUAAUACCGGAUAAUAUAUUGAACCGCAUGAUUCAAUAGUGAAAGACGGUUUUGCUGUCACUUAUAGAUGGAUCCGCGCCGCAUUAGCUAGUUGGUAAGGUAACGGCUUACCAAGGCGACGAUGCGUAGCCGACCUGAGAGGAUGAUCAGCCACACUGGAACUGAGACACGGUCCAGACUCCUACGGGAGGCAGCAGUGGGGAAUCUUCCACAAUGGGCGAAAGCCUGACGGAGCAACGCCGCGUGAGUGAUGAAGGUCUUCGGAUCGUAAAACUCUUUUAUUAGGGAAGAACAAAUGUGUAAGUAACUAUGCACGUCUUGACGGUACCUAAUCAGAAAGCCACGGCUAACUACGUG
rnacentral:rRNA from 1 species